AAUUUUCACAAUUAUACCAUGGUUUUGUUGUAUAAGGUAUCCAAAGGAAAAAAAUUGUCAAGACCUGGCCGCGGCCGCCUGAAUUUUUUGAUAGAAACAACAAAGUCAGUGUGGGGCCAAUAAGCUAAACUGCCCGCUUUGCACCAGCUGAAAUAAAUGAUUGCUUAAGGUGGGAAUCGAACCCACAUACACCAACUCUGUUGUCCUAUAUUUUAAAUGAACCAAGAUUCGCUCCCAGAACAAACAAAUAAAGUUUAAAAAUAUGUUGAUUUUCGGUUAUUAAAUGGUAAACUUUCUAUAGGCUCCACUGUACAGCUACAUUUACAUGAAUCACAUCUAACCGUUUGUUUGGCAAGGCGGGUUAGUUUUUAGGGGAUGGAGGGGACAGGAAGCACGCCCCUUUUAAAGAACUUUAAAUAUGGUUAACAAAUAACCUAUUUUAUAGUAUUUUCAAAUGUUGGCUUGCUUUACCCCCACCCCCACUUUAAAAGUGUUUGAUCCACACCCGGUUUAUUAAACACUGCUGAC
rnacentral:lncRNA from 1 species